UACGUAGGCGGAAAAUUAAGUCAGUAGUGAAAUCCUGCAGCUUAACUGUAGAACUGUUAUUGAUACUGGUUUCCUUGAAUAUAGUUGAGGUAGGCGGAAUGUGUAAUGUAGCGGUGAAAUGCUUAGAUAUUACACAGAACACCGAUUGCGAAGGCAGCUUACUAAGCUAUGAUUGACGCUGAGGUACGAAAGCGUGGGGAGCGAACAGGAUUAGAUACCCUGGUAGUCC
rnacentral:rRNA from 1 species